AUGUUCUCUCUUACUGUCGACCUCGUCUCUACCACCUCCGCCCUCUCCUUCUCGGUUACCAAUAUCUACGCCCCCUACGAUCACUCCCGGACUGCCGCUUUCGUUCCUGACCUCCUGAGUGUUGCUGCCUCUAUCGACACGCCCUGGCUAGCGGUCGGUGACUUUAACCUCAUACGCUACGCACACGAGAAGAAUAACUCUAAUUUCGACGCCUCUUGUGCGGCGCCUUUCAAUGGGCUAAUCAAUUCCCUGUCCUGGUUCGAGCUACCUCUCUCCGAUCGCCUUUUCACCUGGUCUAACAAACGCUCCCCCCGACCCUCGCUUGGCUUGAUCGUGCGUUUUUAA
rnacentral:rRNA from 1 species